CCUUAGUUACCAGCACGUUAUGGUGGGCACUCUAAGGAGACUGCCGGUGACAAACCGGAGGAAGGUGGGGAUGACGUCAAGUCAUCAUGGCCCUUACGGCCUGGGCUACACACGUGCUACAAUGGUCGGUACAAAGGGUUGCCAAGCCGCGAGGUGGAGCUAAUCCCAUAAAACCGAUCGUAGUCCGGAUCGCAGUCUGCAACUCGACUGCGUGAAGUCGGAAUCGCUAGUAAUCGUGAAAUCAGAAUGUCACGGUGAAUACGUUCCCGGGCCUU
rnacentral:rRNA from 1 species